GCCGGAUAUGAAUUUUACAAGUGGCCCAUCCGGUAGUCAUCACCUAACUGAAAACGUCCAUCAUGGAAUGUCAUCACAUUACGACUUGUAAGUGAAAUGAUAUAGCCAUAUAUAAAGCAUUAUUGAUUUAGUAGCUUAUAUUUUUGUUAAAAUGUGCAGUGAAAACGAGCAAGUUGAACUACCCGUACUCACUCAAUUGCCCGAAAACGACGUAUUACAUCAGGAUCUGGCAGAUGCACAGAGUGAGGAAGAGAACAACGAUUACGAUAACAAUGCCGAU
rnacentral:lncRNA from 1 species